GGGGCUGUCCCGGAUUCGAUGGGGAAGGGGAUACGGUAUAAGCACGCCGAAGGCUCGACUUCGUAAAAACGGAAAAUUAAAUUUAAACGCAAAAAAUAACAAUCAAGUAGCUUUCGCUGCUUAAUCAGCGAGCUUGUCGACCCGAGAAUCCACGGCUCGGUCAUCGGCAUCAAUCAGUGGAAAGGGUCGGGCGCAUACGCCUUUAACGUCCGACAAUAUCAAAGGCUUGCCGAAACGUUCAUCCGUGAAUAGAGAACGUCAGGGACUAAUAUAUGUUCAAUAAGCGUGUAGAAAGUGUCGUGCAAACUUGUCCAGACAGGGGUUCAACUCCCCUCAGUUCCACCA
rnacentral:tmRNA from 1 species